rnacentral:tRNA from 1 species
UAUGCUUUAGUGUUUAAUGCACGGAAGGUUUUGAUUCUUCAAGUAAUAACUCAAUUAUUGAGCAUAA